rnacentral:rRNA from 1 species
AGUGAACGCUGGCGGUAGGCCUAACACAUGCAAGUCGAACGGCAGCACAGUAAGAGCUUGCUCUUACGGGUGGCGAGUGGCGGACGGGUGAGGAAUACAUCGGAAUCUACUUUUUCGUGGGGGAUAACGUAGGGAAACUUACGCUAAUACCGCAUACGACCUACGGGUGAAAGCAGGGGAUCUUCGGACCUUGCGCGAUUGAAUGAGCCGAUGUCGGAUUAGCUAGUUGGCGGGGUAAAGGCCCACCAAGGCGACGAUCCGUAGCUGGUCUGAGAAGAUGAUCAGCCACACUGGAACUGAGACACGGUCCAGACUCCUACGGGAGGCAGCAGUGGGGAAUAUUGGACAAUGGGCGCAAGCCUGAUCCAGCCAUACCGAGUGGGUGAAGAAGGCCUUCGGGUUGUAAAGCCCUUUUGUUGGGAAAGAAAAGCAGCAGGUUAAUACCCCGCUGUUCUGACGGUACCCAAAGAAUAAGCACCGGCUAACUUCGUG